rnacentral:rRNA from 1 species
GAAGCGGUUAGUGGCGGACUGGUGAGUAACGCGUAAGCAACCUGCCUAUUAGUAGGGAAUAACAGUGAGAAAUCAUUGCUAAUACCGUAUAAGCUGGAAACAUCGCAUGAUGUAGUCAGAAAAGGAGCAAUUCGCUGAUAGAUGGGCUUGCGUCUGAUUAGUUAGUUGGUGGGGUAACGGCCUACCAAGACGAUGAUCAGUAGCCGGACUGAGAGGUUAAACGGCCACAUUGGGACUGAGAUACGGCCCAGACUCCUACGGGAGGCAGCAGUCGGGAAUAUUGCGCAAUGGAGGAAACUCUGACGCAGUGACGCCGCGUGCAGGAAGAAGGUUUUCGGAUUGUAAACUGCUUUAGACAGGGACGAAACAAAUGACGGUACCUGUAGAAUAAGCUCCGGCUAACUACGUGCCAGCAGCCGCGGUAAUACGUAGGGAGCAAGCGUUAUCCGGAUUUAUUGGGUGUAAAGGGUGCGUAGACGGAUAAACAAGUUAGUUGUGAAAUACCUUGGCUUAACUGAGGAACUGCAACUAAAACUAUAUAUCUUGAGUACUGGAGGGGAAAGCGGAAUUCCUAGUGUAGCGGUGAAAUGCGUAGAUAUUAGGAAGAACACCGGUGGCGAAGGCGGCUUUCUGGACAGCAACUGACGUUGAGGCACGAAAGUGUGGGGAGCAAACAGGAUUAGAUACCCUGGUAGUCCACACCGUAAACGAUGGAUACUAGGUGUUGGCUGUGAUGAGCAGUCAGUGCCGUCGCAAACGCAGUAAGUAUCCCACCUGGGGAGUACGACCGCAAGGUUGAA